rnacentral:rRNA from 1 species
GACGAACGCUGGCGGCGUGCUUAACACAUGCAAGUCGAACGGAAAGGCCCUGCUUUUGUGGGGUUCUCGAGUGGCGAACGGGUGAGUAACACGUGAGUAACCUGCCCUUGACUUUGGGAUAACUUCAGGAAACUGGGGCUAAUACCGGAUAGGAGCUCCUGCUGCAUGGUGGGGGUUGGAAAGUUUCGGCGGUUGGGGCUGGACUCGCGGCUUAUCAGCUUGUUGGUGGGGUAGUGGCUUACCAAGGCUUUGACGGGUAGCCGGCCUGAGAGGGUGACCGGCCACCUUGGGACUGCGAGACGGCGCAGACUCCAACGGGAGGCAGCAGUGGCGAAUAUUGCACAAUGGGCGGAAGCCUGAUGCAGAAACGCCGCGUGCGGGAUGACGGCCUUCGGGUUGUAAACCGCUUUCGCCUGUGACGAAGCGUGAGUGACGGUAAUGGGUAAAGAAGCACCGGCUAACUACGUG